AGCGGACAUGUAUAUAUGCUACUGUUUCUAUGUUCAUCUGUUAAGAGUGUAGAUUUGAACAUUAGGUUCCCUGGGCUGCUUAGCCUUACUAUUUGUUAGGGAUUAUAUCUUGUGUACUCUGCUAUAUCAGUGGUACCAAAAGGUUUCUACCUUGCAUUAAUUGAUGUAGAAG